rnacentral:rRNA from 1 species
AACGAAUGCUGGCGGCAGGCCUUACACAUGCAAGUCGAACGUGAAAGUCCUUCGGGAUGAGUAAAGUGGCGCACGGGUGAGUAACGCGUGGGAACAUGCCCUUCAGUACGGGAUAACAGCGGGAAACUGCUGCUAAUACCGUAUAUUCCCUACGGGGGAAAGAUUUAUCGCUGAAGGAUUGGCCCGAGUUAGAUUAGCUAGUUGGUGAGGUAGUGGCUCACCAAGGCUACGAUCUAUAGCCGGUCUGAGAGGACGAUCGGCCACACUGGAACUGAGACACGGUCCAGACUCCUACGGGAGGCAGCAGUGGGGAAUAUUGGACAAUGGGCGAAAGCCUGAUCCAGCCAUGCCGCGUGAGUGAUGAAGGCCUUAGGGUUGUAAAGCUCUUUUGGCGGGGAAGAUAAUGACGGUACCCGCAGAAUAAGCCCCGGCUAACUUCGUGCCAGCCGCCGCCGUAA